UGCCCCCUGGAAAUGGGCAAAGAAACUUCUUAUUUGUGGUGAUGUUCUUAUAUCAGUCAGAGGCAGAGCAGAUGGCACUCCAUUGUUCAUCCUAGCUUGAUGCCUGGCUUGGUGGCCAAAGCCGUUUUUAUGCUUAGGACACAUAA